CGGAAACUGGGAAACUUGAGUGCAGAAGAGGACAGUGGAACUCCAUGUGUAGCGGUGAAAUGCGUAGAUAUAUGGAAGAACACCAGUGGCGAAGGCGGCUGUCUGGUCUGUAACUGACGCUGAGGCUCGAAAGCAUGGGUAGCAAACAGGAUUAGAUACCCUGGUAGUCCAUGCCGUAAACGAUGAGUGCUAGGUGUUGGAGGGUUUCCGCCCUUCAGUGCCGCAGCUAACGCAUUAAGCACUCCGCCUGGGGAGUACGACCGCAAGGUUGAAACUCAAAGGAAUUGACGGGGGCCCGCACAAGCGGUGGAGCAUGUGGUUUAAUUCGAAGCAACGCGAAGAACCUUACCAGGUCUUGACAUCCUUUGACCACUCUAGAGAUAGAGCUUUCCCUUCGGGGACAAAGUGAC
rnacentral:rRNA from 1 species